rnacentral:lncRNA from 1 species
CCUUUCCUCCCUUCCCUUCACAGGUUGCCCCAUAGUGACCCUGGAGACUCCCGCCUGCCCCCAGUGAAGGAAUUGGUUACUCUCCCAGAGCCCUCCCGGGCAUCGCCCCCUUCCUCACUUCCUCCUCUUCCUGCCCCCAGCCUCUACCCCUCCAGCCUCCUGUGGCUUCACAGGCAAGUGCCGCAUCCCAGGAAGAAGGAGUUGGAGCUCCGUGAUGCCAUUCAAAAACAGAUGAGAUGGGGACAGAUUUAACCCAAAGGACAUAGUUCAACUCCUGGUCUUGACAGAGGAGAAGCCCUCAAAGCAAGACCAACCCCUCCUCUUCCUCUUCCUCCUCAGCCUACUCAAUGUGAAGACAAUAAGGAUGAAGACCAUUAAUGAUGUUCUGCUUCCACUUAAUGAAUAAUAAAUAUAUUUUCUCUUCUUUAUGAUUUUCUUAAUAACAUUUCUCAAGUCUAUUGUAAGAAUACAGUGUAUAAUACAUAUAAUGUACAAAACUUGUAUAAUCAACUGUUUCUGUUACCAAUAAGACAGUAGCCUAUUAGUAGUUAAGUUUUUGGGGGGUCAAAAGUUACAUGCCAAUUUUUGACUGCAUGGGGUGUUGGGGCCCCUAGUCCCUGCAUUGUUUAAGGGUCAACUGUAAUAACAACUAUAAACAACUGAAUGACUUUUUGAUUACAAAAAAUUCCUUGAGACAAAGCCUGAAUAGAACAACCAUAAAUGUGGCUUUGGGGACACUGUUGCGGCUUCAUGUUUCAUCAUGACUAGAGAUAUAAUACCUUAAGUAGUUAGCCACCAACACUCCAAUCGCAAAUUCUGGAGGUCUGGGAUUAUUCCACAAAUCACUGGGUAGAUGCAAACCUUCUAGAGAAGUCUAGUAUCAGCAGAGUAAAACAAUCUCCUUUUAAAAAUAAGAUUUCUUUAUCACUCCCUGCUUUCACGCAAUCACAGCUUCUUUUUAUUUACUUAUUUAUUUUUUAGAUGGAGUCUCACUCUGUUGCCAGGCUAGAAUACAAUGGCACGAACUUGGCUCACUGCAACCUCCGCCUCCUGGGUUCAAGAGAUUCUCCUGCCUCAGCGUCCUGAGUUGCUGGGACUACGGGCACACACCAUCAUGCCCAGCUAAUUUUUGUAUUUUUAGUAGAGACAGGGUUUCACCAUGUUGACCAGGAUGGUCUCGAUCUCUUGACCUCGUGAUCUGCCCACGUCGGCCUCCCAAAGUCCUGGGAUUACAGGCAUGAGCCAGUGCGCCUAGCAAACGACAGCUUUUUGAGCCUCUGUUUAACAAUCUCUUAAACCUUAUAGGUAGGCAGUUCUGAGACAGCUCCUAAUCAUCUCCCCUCCUGGUAUUCAAGCCCUGAUGGAAUACUCUCUUCUUCAAUGUGAGCUGGACUUAGUGGUUUUCUUCUAAUCCAUUGAAUACACACAAGUGAUGAGCUGUCAUUUCCAAAAUUAGUUCACACAAAGCUGUAACUUUUGUUUUGUUCACAGCCUCUCUCAAUUGCCUUCUCAGCUUGUAUGCUUUGAAGAAGCAAGCUGCAGUGUUGGAGAGGCCCAUGUGGCAAGGAAAUGAGGGUGGCCUCCAGUCAAUGGCUGGUGAGAAACUGAGACCUUCCUUCCAACAAUUGUCAAGUAACUGAAUACUCCCAACAAUCAUAUGGGUUAGGUUAGAAGUGAACCUUUCUCUAGUUGAGGUUUCAGAUAAGACCACAGAUAUUAUACUAACACCUUGAUUGCAGGCUUAUGAGAAACCUUGAAAUGAGAAGACUAAGUAAAACCAUAUCUGGAUUCCUGACUUGCAGAAACUGUGUGAUGAUAAAUGUGUGUUAUCUUAAGCCACAAAGUUUUUGGGGUGAUUUGUUCUACAGCAAUUGAUAAUGAAUACUUCAACCUAUAGUGACAACUGGAUGUCUAUUUACUCAUUUUCCCCACCAAAGUGUAAAGUUCCUACAAGGCAGAGGUUACAACAUAUUCAUCCUGCUACCUCUCACAGCCCAUAAUAUACAACCUGACCCAUAAAACAUGAUUAAUCAAUGUUUGUUAAAUUAACAUGUAUUUUGAGUUUCAUUGAAAUCAGUUAGUUGAAGUGAUAAUAACAUUUAAAUGUGCAUGAGCAGUAGGACAAGGCAGAUAGCUGGUUAGGAUAGAAAGUUUUUGAAAAUUGUGAGGGGAAAAAUUAUUUCUAUUUGUACCCUGUUGUACCCAGCUUAGGUUUCAAAAACUUUCAGGGGGUUUUUAUUCAUUUACCAAAGACUUCAAAGUUGGUGCCUCCCCACCACUCUAAAGAGGUCUUUGCCCUUAUUGACCCAACCAUACUGAUUUGCCUGGUGCACAGUGGGAGCUAUUAUAAGGAGAGGGGAGAAGAAGGAAAUAGAAACAACUGUGAAAAAGGUUGAAAAAAAUAGCGAAAAGGAUAGAAAAAGAGCAGAGGAAAGAGAAGAAGUAGUCAACAUCCAACCCAGAUGCAGAGAAAUGAUUCAAAAGAAAAAGUCUGAUUUUCCUGUCGGAAAUAUUUUUAAAAGGAGGUAGGCAUUUAUCAAAAAGGAAAAAAAAAAAAAAAGAAUAACAGAGUUUGUCUUCCAAAGGACCCAAUACUCUUGGAAUUCAAUGACCUAAUUCUGUGUAUGGUUGCAGUGUGGAGAUUGCCUCUUGUCUGAUUCUCAUGGCAUUGAGACCUCUGAUUUCUCAACAGCACAUGCCACAGCACUAUCAGAAGUCAGGAAUAAAGAACAGAGGGUGUGGGGGGCAGUCUAGAUAUUAUGCUCAGCAAACAUAUUUUUAAAUCAGUGUAAAUUCUAUCUUGCUGGUUGCUUAUCUUAGCAGUUAAAUCAACUUUUCGUUACUUUUGUAGACAUUAUAUAAUAUCUUCUCCCCGCAGCUCCAGCCACCAGCUGUUAGUCAGCAGAAUGGGAGAGGGACUGGGUCAGCUUAAGCUGAAUAACUUCCAUGGUGACAUUUGAGGGAACCAAUUCCCAGCCACUGAACAAACCUAAAUGUUCUGCUAUGGCCAUAGAACCAAAUAGAUCUUAACAAAGAAACCUGAGAGCAUUCAAAGGUCAAAACAAUUGGAGCUAGUUCCUUCAAGCUUAAAUAUGCUCAUCUGUAAAGUGGGGACAAUAACUGUGUGUCUUAUAGGGUUAUUUUGAAGGCUAAAUAUGUGUAAAAGCCUCAGUCUACUGAAAGGUUGCUCAACUGUAACACUCUUUUCAUUUUGUGAGGGAUCAUUCUUUGUUGGAGGUUAGGGACACUGUCUCGUGCAUUACAGGAUGUUUAGCAACAUCCUCAGCUUCUAUCCAUCAGAUGUUAGCACCCCCCCCACGGACCACCAUCUUCUCCAUCAUCACCAUCAAAUAUGUCUCCAGACAUUUCCAAGUGUCCCCUGGGAGGCUAAAACUGCCCCUGGUUGAGAACCACUGUUCUAGUACUUGGCAUUGUUCCAUAAACAUCAGAUGAUAUUUUUAUCAUUAUAAUUAUUACUAAAGGCAACAUCACCCUGCUAUGGAGACAGGUCCUUGGUCUCACGGAAUCCCUGCAAUAGUUGCUGCAUUUCUGCAUCUUUCUGAGAGUAAGGGUUGAAAAGAGAUAAGGUCAAUUCAUCUGACAACAAUCCAAUGGGAAACCUACUGUCUCCGUAGAAAUUCUUUUCAUGGAAAGAAAAGGGGCUACCAUUUUGAUCUGCUGCAGGAACUAGGUCUAUUCCUCAGCCUCACAGUUUGCAAAACGCUACAGACUUUUCCAUGGGCAUAAAUUCUCCAGCUUUAGGGAUUGCUGGUAUAGUUGACUCUUGAAGCUGCUCUUGGAUUUCCAAGGGUAGCACCAUUUUUACCUGAGAAAAGAAGGAAAAAGAUAUUCAAGAAGGAGAACUUUUCAACAGAAGUUACUCCAUUUGCUGUUUUUGUGGUUUUGUGCUUGUUUAGGUUUGCAAGUGUGUUUUCUGCCCAAAUUGUUCUUGCAUAUUCUAACAGUGUUUGCUUUACGUGUUUUGAUGCCACGCUGUUUUGAAGGUACAAAUGUUUUUCAUGGCAUGUCUUGUGUUAAGUGUACAAACUGAGACGUGAAUGUCAGUGACUGAAUAGAGUACAGUAUUCCUCAAAGUUUGUAACUAAAUAAACCCUAAGAGAAAAGUGAAGCGAGAUUUCUGGAGGUCUGGAAGUGGCCAGCUGACAAUAUACAUCUCUGUAUCUCCUAUUUUUAUCUUUAUGCUAAAUGCAAAUUUUACUUUCUGUGCUAAAAUAAUGUUUCAUUAGUUUCAAGGUAAAAAUGUGUAAAUAGACUUUCCGUACUGGCUUGUUUAUUCUGUGGUUUUUCCUACUCCCUUUUUAAAAGUAUGUACAGUGAAUUUGCAAAGAUCAUAGUAUUGGAAUCUAACCCACCUGAAUUUCAGUCCUUGGCUAUACUACUGAUAGAAUGGAUUAACUUGGGCAUAUCACUUAAUCCUGAGGACCCUCAGUUUCCAUAUCCGAAAUGAAGAAGUAAGAAGUGACCUACUAUAUCACACCAUUAUAAGAAGUAAAAGCAAUAUAUGUGAACAGUAGAGCAGAGGGCCAGGCACAGAAAGUUCUCUAUAGUCAUUAGCUGGCAUAAUUAUUAUAAAAGGGAGCACUUUUGAUGUAAAACAUAGGUAGAAGUUCACAAAUUUGUUAAUCUGCCCCUACCUCCCAACCGUCUACCUACCCUCCAUACCUGGCCACCUGCCUCAUACAGAUAUUGCCUAACUUUUAAAAAGGAACACUUUUGAUAUAAAACAUAGGUAGAGGGUCACGCAGUACAUGAAUGAGAAAUGAAACAGAGGCCUGUUAAUCUACUGUCACCUCCCAACCCUCUACCCACCCCCUAUACCUGGCCACCUGCCUCUGUGCAGAUCUUGCCUAACCUUUCCCAACAGGAAGAACCUGGGAUUUUGUGAAAUACUUCCGAGGAUGAAACUAACACAGCUCAUUAACCCUCCCAAGUAUCUGUGCUAUAAGGAUUUCCUGUAACUUUCCCAUGACUCUGAAUUACAUCUACCCUGAGCCCCACAUCAAGAUCUGGGACAUUGCCUUGUCAUGCUGACAGUUGCCCACAUUUCCUGGCUUUGUUCACAUUGCUUCCCAGACCCCUCUUCUGAAGAUUCUGAUUUUCUUGGUGUAGGGAGAGGGGCAGAUAACUUAUAUUUUUAACAAGCUCCCUAAGUAUUUCCUAAGAUUGUGUAAGUUGAGAAAGCACUGCAUUGUGCUAUCUGCUUCUGUUGCCCACAGUACCAGAACAUAUCUCCAGACAUCUAAAACACUAAAACAAAGAACAGCAGGUGUAAUUUCUAAAAAAAAAAAAAAAAAAAAAAACCUGAUCAUGGCAAAUUUAAUAUUAGUCUAAAUAUCUAUCAGAAUUCCAACAUACACCCUCCUUGACCCUGCAAUUCUACUUCAAGGAAUUAAUCUUAACAAAUAUACUUCCAGAUCUAUAGAAAGGUGAAUGUAAAAGCAUUGUCUCUAAUGCUGUGCGGAAUAAUGCAGAAGACUGUGAGAAAAAACCUAAUGUCCAACAAUGGGGGAAGAAAUGUAUGACAUAGCCAUAUAAUAGAAUAUUAUGGAGCUUUACAAAGACAGCUGUCUGUGUUUCGGUAUUUUACAUCCAUACAAGCCAUUCUCUGUGUGUUGAAUUAAAUUAAAAAGGUCUCCAAGUUAUAUUUUAAAUUAAAAAUGUCAAAGUGCCUAAUAGUAUGGGCAGUUGACAAUCUAUCUCCUUCCUCUCUAUAACCUUUCUAACUAGAUUGUAUGUGUCUUGUGCAUUAUAAGAUGUUUAGCAACAUCCUUAGCUUCUGUCCACCAGAUGUUAGCACCCCACCCACAGACCACCACCCUCUCCAUCAUCACCAUCAGAAAGUCUCCAGACAUUUCCAAGUGUUCCCUGGAGGGUAAAAUCACCCCUGUUUGGGAACCACUGUUCUAGUGCUUGAAUAAACGCACAUACUAUCCCUGGAAGGAUACCCAGAAGCAUCACUGGUGCCUGUGGGGUAGGGGACUGGAUGGCUAGGAGCUAAGGCCAGGAGGGGACUGAAUUUUUGCACAAUAUGUUUUCUUGGACCCUUUGAUUUUUGUAUCAUGCACAGAUUUAACCUAUACAAAAGUUUGUUUUGAUUUAAAACAGAAGACCUCAGUCUAGCUAGCACUCAUACCCUACAUUUAUUCCUUCCCUUUAUCCUUCUCUUUCCUUACCCCACAGCUUUGCUCCUCCAUUCACAUUAGGAGAAUCUUUUCCUGUCCUCCAUUCCCACCACAGUGUGGACUUCCUCUCUCCCUAUUUCCACUCUGCUUAAGCCCCACCAUUUCCUGGAGGUAUGUCUGUCACCUUCAAGUUCUACUAAAGCUACCUUGAAUCUAAGCCACACAGGAGGGUUUGUUGCCCUGAUGAAAUACACUCCAUGACCAUACCCUUCCUGUACAUCUACACAUUCCUCAUCAAUUGGAGAUCUUAUCACAGAGAAAUGUUUUAAAAAUCAUUCACUUUAGUGUCAAACUUUCUUCUCUCUUAUUUUAAAUUUUCAUAAUUUUUAAUGUAUGGGUGCCUAAAAAAGAGUGAUGUCUGUUUGAAUUUGACCUGUGUGUUUGCAUUUCAACCAUAAAUUUCCUCGUAAACAACAGACUCCCUAUUUAUCCUACACAAUAACAAUAUAAGAAAGACCUACUUAUAAUCUCUCCUAUCGGCCUAAUUAUAAGCUCUUAGAAGUGC